rnacentral:lncRNA from 1 species
AAAAUUCAGCAGUCCACAUACAGGUAUAGGCUCAAAAAGGUCGCAACUGUUAAAUCCAACUAUUACAAGAAGUCCCCUCUCUUGGUAAUUUAGAGAUCGGCUGAUUUCAUCUCGUGCAAGGCAUAUAGUUCCACCAGAUAAAAGAACAGAACAGAACAUAACAAAUUAUGAUUCACGUGUUCCAUAGUAAAUAUUUAUUUUAAAAAAAAUCAAGUUAAAACAAAAAAAAAGUCUGUGAUUCAUAGAAAGACAAGUCCUAAAAAAUUAUUGGUAUCUAAAGAGCUCUAUU